AUGAGCUUCGCUAAUUUUCUUUACUUCAUUGCGAUUAUAGUUCAAGGAUGUAGGGCUCCGGCUUGUUUUAGCAGGAUUAAAUUUGCUUCGCCUAAUUAAAUUUCAUCUCAGUGUGUAAAACAAAACAAGCAUGUGCAUAUGACUUAAAGGCCCGAUAUUCGCCCUUUUAUAGAGGGUAUUGGGAUGUGGUCUCAGUUUGGACCGAUCUUAUCUUUCCUGUAAAUUUUGUUUGGCUGUUGCUGCCCAGUCUCGGGUUGAGGUAAGCCGAAGUGCAAUUUAAUUUCCCCGUCGAUGAUUGAUGCUGCCGUGUGGAGGGUUCACUCUUCAGUGUCCAUUCCGUUCCCCGACUCCUGGCAGCAAGGACAAUACCGCACAAGUAGCCAACAAAUUUUGUCUGGCAGCACACCCAGGACAACGGAGAGAACACCACAAGCAGCAGCAAAGGGAAACUUUUUAUCGCCGGCCAGGUUAACUUUUAAGCAGUCCAACAAGGACUCCCGAUUUAAGAGGAGCGCAGGACAUUUGCCGGAGAUAAACAGAUUUAUUGUGCUUAAGGACGCACGUUAAACGGGCGGAGGUCCUCACACAGAACGCCGAAAACCGAGUACAAGUACAAGUACAAGGACAGCGAUAAGGACUGCGGAACUGGGAGGACUGUUUAUAGAUUUUCGGUGUCCCCAAUUAGCGCAAGAGAAAGGCGGGGGACACGGGAAAAGCGACGGAAAUUAGGGGAAUAAAAGGAGUGCUGGCGCUGUGCUUCAGUGUCCUCCCUAUUCCCUCCUUCUUCCCUUCUCGUUUCAGGAUAAUAGAAAUGUGGUAGUAACACUAAGGAAAAAUAGGUAAUAAAACUCAAUUUGAAGUGACACAGACUUAAUGUGAAAUAAUCAUUUGAUAAUUAUUCAUUAAAGGGCGCUUAAUUAAUGU